AGCAGCCGCGGUAAUUCCAGCUCCAAUAGCGUAUAUUAAAGUUGUUGCAGUUAAAAAGCUCGUAGUUGAAUUUCGGGAUUGACGUGAUGGUCAUGCCUUAAGGGGUAUGAACUGUUACAGUUGAUUUCUCACCUUCUGGAGAAACUUGAUGUCCUUUAUUGGGUGUCUUGCGGAUCCAGGACCUUUACCUUGAAAAAAUUAGAGUGUUUAAAGCAGGCAUUUUUGCUCGAAUACAUUAGCAUGGAAUAAUAGAAUAGGACGGCAUGGUUCUAUUUUGUUGGUUUCUAGGACCACCGUAAUGAUUAAUAGGGAUAGUUGGGGGCAUUAGUAUUCAAUUGUCAGAGGUGAAAUUCUUGGAUUUAUUGAAGACUAACUACUGCGAAAGCAUUUGCCAAGGAUGUUUUCAUUAAUCAAGAACGAAAGUUAGGGGAUCGAAGACGAUCAGAUACCGUCGUAGUCUUAACCAUAAACUAUGCCGACUAGGAAUCAGACGAUGUUAAUUUUUUAAUGACUCGUUUGGCACCUUACG
rnacentral:rRNA from 1 species